CUUAGUAAGCAGCGGAAGAACUAAACAGGAUCCCCACAGUAAUGGCGAAUGAGCAGGGAUGAGCUCAGCAUGGAAAUUGGGGCCUGUGGCCUUGACUUGUAAGCUGGUGAGGCAUUGCCAACAGAGGCGCAGAUGUAAGUCUCUUGGAACAGAGCAUCAAUGAGGGUGAGAGUCCUGUUUGCCAUUUGCAGCCCCCUGUGCACGGUGUGCCUACAGCGAGUCACGUUCCUCGGGAUUGGAGCGCAAAGUGGGUGGUAACUUUCAUCUGAAGCUAAACAUUGGUUUAAGACCGAUAGGAAACAAGUACCAUGAGGGAAAGGUGAAAAGGACUUUGGAAAGAGAGUUAAAAGUGCCUGAAAUUGCUGAAAGGGAAGCGAAUGGAACCAGUGUUGAUGGUGAGAUUGUCAUAUGCUAUACUGAUUGGUUGCUGAUGUGUCGCAAGUGUUCUGGUAAGCAUUGAUCUGUAAGUGUGUGGUGUGUCUCGCCUUGAUUGUCAUCGAGGGCUCCUGCAUUAAGACAUUUCAAAGUUCAGGGUAAUAUGUUUGUGAAGGUUGAAUGUGCUUUGCUAUGUUUAUGCAGAAGCUUCCUCUUGUAUGUCUGGGCUGCUGUGCUCUGCCCCACCACCGGGAAACAAGCAUGCCAUUCUGCACAGCUGAUGACUAAAUGUUCUUCGCCG
rnacentral:rRNA from 1 species